rnacentral:tRNA from 2 species
GGACGCUUAGCUCAGCUGGUUCAGAGCACUACUUUGACAGAGUAGGGGUCACUGGUUCGAAUCCAGUAGCGUCCA